AACAGAUAAGGAGCUUGCUCCUUUGACGUUAGCGGCGGACGGGUGAGUAACACGUGGAUAACCUACCUAUAAGACUGGGAUAACUUCGGGAAACCGGAGCUAAUACCGGAUAACAUAUUGAACCGCAUGGUUCAAUAGUGAAAGGCGGCUUUGCUGUCACUUAUAGAUGGAUCCGCGCCGUAUUAGCUAGUUGGUAAGGUAACGGCUUACCAAGGCAACGAUACGUAGCCGACCUGAGAGGGUGAUCGGCCACACUGGAACUGAGACACGGUCCAGACUCCUACGGGAGGCAGCAGUAGGGAAUCUUCCGCAAUGGGCGAAAGCCUGACGGAGCAACGCCGCGUGAGUGAUGAAGGUCUUCGGAUCG
rnacentral:rRNA from 1 species